UCCGGUGGUUCCGCAUGGAAGGGCCAUCGCUCAACGGAUAAAAGCUACCCCGGGGAUAACAGGCUUAUCUCCCCCAAGAGUUCACAUCGACGGGGAGGUUUGGCACCUCGAUGUCGGCUCAUCGCAUCCUGGGGCUGUAGUCGGUCCCAAGGGUUGGGCUGUUCGCCCAUUAAAGCGGUACGCGAGCUGGGUUCAGAACGUCGUGAGACAGUUCGGUCCCUAUCCGUCGUGGGCGUAGGAAAUUUGAGAGGAGCUGUCCUUAGUACGAGAGGACCGGGAUGGACAUACCUCUGGUGUACCAGUUGUCGUGCCAACGGCAUAGCUGGGUAGCUAUGUGUGGACGGGAUAAGUGCUGAAAGCAUCUAAGCAUGAAGCCCCCCUCAAGAUGAGAUUUCCCAACUUCGGUUAUAAGAUCCCUCAAAGAUGAUGAGGUUAAUAGGUUCGAGGUGGAAGCAUGGUGACAUGUGGAGCUGACGAAUACUAA
rnacentral:rRNA from 1 species